CCUACGGGAGGCAGCAGUAGGGAAUAUUGCUCAAUGGGGGAAACCCUGAAGCAGCAACGCCGCGUGGCGGAUGAAGGUUUUCGGAUUGUAAACUCCUUUUGUUAGAGAAGAUAAUGACGGUAUCUAACGAAUAAGCACCGGCUAACUCCGUGCCAGCAGCCGCGGUCAUACGGAGGGUGCAAGCGUUACUCGGAAUCACUGGGCGUAAAGAGCGCGUAGGCGGGAUAGCAAGUCAGAUGUGAAAUCCUAUGGCUUAACCAUAGAACUGCAUUUGAAACUGUUAUUCUAGAGUAUGGGAGAGGUAGGUGGAAGUCUUGGUGGAGGGGUAAAAUCCGUAGAGAUCAAGAGGAAUACUCAUUGCGAAGGCGACCUGCUAGAACAUAACUGACGCUGAUGCGCGAAAGCGUGGGGAGCAAACAGGAUUAGAUACCCCUGUAGUC
rnacentral:rRNA from 1 species